CACCAGACUCCUACGGGAGGCAGCAGUGAGGAAUAUUGGUCAAUGGGCUUACGCCUGAACCAGCCAAGUCGCGUGAGGGAAGACUGCCCUAUGGGUUGUAAACCUCUUUUGUCAGGGAGCAAUUGGCGCUACGUGUAGCGUUAUCGAGAGUACCUGAAGAAAAAGCAUCGGCUAACUCCGUGCCAGCAGCCGCGGUAAUACGGAGGAUGCGAGCGUUAUCCGGAUUUAUUGGGUUUAAAGGGUGCGUAGGCGGACGCUUAAGUCGGCGGUAAAAUUGGGGGGCUCAACCUCGGCGAGCCGUUGAAACUGGGUGCCUUGAGUGGGCGAGAAGUAUGCGGAAUGCGUGGUGUAGCGGUGAAAUGCAUAGAUAUCACGCAGAACUCCGAUUGCGAAGGCAGCAUACCGGCGCCCAACUGACGCUGAAGCACGAAAGCGUGGGUAUCGAACAGGAUUAGAUACCCGUGUA
rnacentral:rRNA from 1 species